rnacentral:rRNA from 1 species
GAUGAACGCUGGCGGCGUGCCUAAUACAUGCAAGUCGAGCGAACGGACGAGAAGCUUGCUUCUCUGAUGUUAGCGGCGGACGGGUGAGUAACACGUGGAUAACCUACCUAUAAGACUGGGAUAACUUCGGGAAACCGUAGCUAAUACCGGAUAAUAUUUUGAACCGCAUGGUUCAAAAGUGAAAGACGGUCUUGCUGUCACUUAUAGAUGGAUCCGCGCUGCAUUAGCUAGUUGUUAAGGUAACGGCUUACCAAGGCAACGAUGCAUAGCCGACCUGAGAGGGUGGUCGGCCACCCUGGAACUGAGACACGGUCCAGACUCCUACGGGGGGCAGCAGUAGGGAAUCGUCCGCAAUGGGCGAGAGCCUGACGGAGCAACGCCGCGUGAGUGAUGAAGGUCUUCGGAUCGUAAAACUCUGUUAUUAGGGAAGAACAUAUGUGUAAGUAACUGUGCACACCUUGACGGUACCUAAUCAGAAAGCCACGGCUAACUACGUG